GGGGCUGUGGCUCAGUGGCAGCACUUCUGUUUGGCACACAGAAGGUCCCAGGUUUGAUCCCCAGCAUCUCUG
rnacentral:tRNA from 1 species